UCGUAACAAGGUCUCCGUUGGUGAACCAGCGGAGGGAUCAUUGCUGGAACGCGCCCCAGGCGCACCCAGAAACCCUUUGUGAACUUAUACCUUACUGUUGCCUCGGCGCUAGCUGGUCCUUCGGGGCCCCUCACCCCCGGGUGUUGAGACAGCCCGCCGGCGGCCAACCCAACUCUUGUUUUUACACUGAAACUCUGAGAAUAAAACAUAAAUGAAUCAAAACUUUCAACAACGGAUCUCUUGGUUCUGGCAUCGAUGAAGAACGCAGCGAAAUGCGAUAAGUAAUGUGAAUUGCAGAAUUCAGUGAAUCAUCGAAUCUUUGAACGCACAUUGCGCCCUCUGGUAUUCCGGAGGGCAUGCCUGUUCGAGCGUCAUUUCAACCCUCAAGCCUGGCUUGGUGAUGGGGCACUGCUUCUUACCCAAGGAGCAGGCCCUGAAAUUCAGUGGCGAGCUCGCCAGGACCCCGAGCGCAGUAGUUAAACCCUCGCUCUGGAAGGCCCUGGCGGUGCCCUGCCGUUAAACCCCCAACUUCUGAAAAUUGACCUCG
rnacentral:misc_RNA from 1 species